AGCAGGGUGGCUCAGUGGAAAGAGCACGGGCUUUGGAGUCAGAGGUCAUGAGUUUGAAUCCCAGCUCUGCCA
rnacentral:tRNA from 1 species